AUUGAACGCUGGCGGCAGGCUUAACACAUGCAAGUCGAGCGGGGUGAUGGUGCUUGCACUAUCACUUAGCGGCGGACGGGUGAGUAAUGCUUAGGAAUCUGCCUAUUAGUGGGGGACAACAUCUCGAAAGGGAUGCUAAUACCGCAUACGUCCUACGGGAGAAAGCAGGGGACCACUUGUGACCUUGCGCUAAUAGAUGAGCCUAAGUCGGCUUAGCUAGUUGGUGGGGUAAAGGCCUACCAAGGCGACGAUCUGUAGCGGGUCUGAGAGGACGAUCCGCCACACUGGGACUGAGACACGGCCCAGACUCCUACGGGAGGCAGCAGUGGGGAAUAUUGGACAAUGGGGGGAACCCUGAUCCAGCCAUGCCGCGUGUGUGAAGAAGGCCUUAUGGUUGUAAAGCACUUUAAGCGAGGAGGAGGCUCUUUUGGUUAAUACCCAAGAUGAGUGGACGUUACUCGCAGAAUAAGCACCGGCUAACUCUGUGCCAGCCGCCGCGGUAA
rnacentral:rRNA from 1 species